CAAGUCGAACGAACCUUUCGGGGUUAGUGGCGGACGGGUGAGUAACGCGUGAGAAUCUGCCCUCAGGAGGGGGAUAACGACUGGAAACGGUCGCUAAUACCCCAUAUGCCGAGAGGUGAAAUGAAUUUCGCCUGAGGAUGAGCUCGCGUCUGAUUAGCUAGUUGGUGGGGUAAAGGCCUACCAAGGCGACGAUCAGUAGCUGGUCUGAGAGGAUGAUCAGCCACACUGGGACUGAGACACGGCCCAGACUCCUACGGGAGGCAGCAGUGGGGAAUUUUCCGCAAUGGGCGAAAGCCUGACGGAGCAGCGCCGCGUGAGGGAUGAAGGCCUCUGGGCUGUAAACCUCUUUUCUCAAGGAAGAAGAUCUGACGGUACUUGAGGAAUAAGCCACGGCUAAUUCCGUGCCAGCAGCCGCGGUAAUACGGGAGUGGCAAGCGUUAUCCGGAAUUAUUGGGCGUAAAGCGUCCGCAGGCGGCCUUGUAAGUCUGUCGUUAAAGCGUGGAGCUUAACUCCAUUUCAGCGGUGGAAACUACAAGGCUUGAGUGUGGUAGGGGCAGAGGGAAUUCCCGGUGUAGCGGUGAAAUGCGUAGAUAUCGGGAAGAACACCAGUGGCGAAGGCGCUCUGCUGGGCCAUAACUGACGCUCAUGGACGAAAGCCAGGGGAGCGAAAGGGAUUAGAUACCCCUGUAGUCCUGGCCGUAAACGAUGAACACUAGGCGUCGGGGGAAUCGACCCCCUCGGUGUCGUAGCCAACGCGUUAAGUGUUCCGCCUGGGGAGUACGCACGCAAGUGUGAAACUCAAAGGAAUUGACGG
rnacentral:rRNA from 1 species